rnacentral:rRNA from 1 species
CACGUAGGGCGCAAGCGUUGUCCGGAAUUAUUGGGCGUAAAGAGCUCGUAGGCGGUUUGUCGCGUCUGCUGUGAAAACCUAAGGCUCAACCUUGGGCUUGCAGUGGGUACGGGCAGACUAGAGUGCGGUAGGGGAGACUGGAAUUCCUGGUGUAGCGGUGGAAUGCGCAGAUAUCAGGAGGAACACCGGUGGGCGAAGGCGGGGUCUCUGGGCCGAUACUGACGCUGGAGGAGC